CCUACGGGAGGCAGCAGUGGGGAAUUUUGGACAAUGGGCGAAAGCCUGAUCCAGCAAUGCCGCGUGUGUGAAGAAGGCCUUCGGGUUGUAAAGCACUUUUGUCCGGAAAGAAAUCCUUGACUCUAAUACAGUCGGGGGAUGACGGUACCGGAAGAAUAAGCACCGGCUAACUACGUGCCAGCAGCCGCGGUAAUACGUAGGGUGCGAGCGUUAAUCGGAAUUACUGGGCGUAAAGCGUGCGCAGGCGGUUUGCUAAGACCGAUGUGAAAUCCCCGGGCUCAACCUGGGAACUGCAUUGGUGACUGGCAGGCUAGAGUAUGGCAGAGGGGGGUAGAAUUCCACGUGUAGCAGUGAAAUGCGUAGAGAUGUGGAGGAAUACCGAUGGCGAAGGCAGCCCCCUGGGCCAAUACUGACGCUCAUGCACGAAAGCGUGGGGAGCAAACAGGAUUAGAUACCCUGGUAGUCCACGCCCUAAACGAUGUCAACUAGUUGUUGGGGAUUCAUUUCCUUAGUAACGUAGCUAACGCGUGAAGUUGACCGCCUGGGGAGUACGGUCGCAAGNUUAAAACUCAAAGGAUUGACGGCUGAGACGNGCGAGGACGACGACGAGGGAGGAGG
rnacentral:rRNA from 1 species